CAACUUUCACCAGUGGAUGUCUAGGCUCGCACAUCGAUGAAAAACGCUGCGAACUGCGAUACGUAAUGCGAAUUGCAGGAUUCAGUGAGUCAUCGAAAUUUUGAACGCAUAUUGCACUU
rnacentral:rRNA from 1 species